rnacentral:lncRNA from 1 species
GCGCCGCUCGCCCGGCUCGAGCCCCGGCUGGACCCCCGCCUGCCCGCCCGCCUGCCCGCCGGCACGCCGCCGCCGCCCGUGGGCGCCCCCAGGCCCCGCGGCCCCCAGCCCCCGCCACCCCGGCGCCGGCCCCUCUCACCCUUUCAUUCUCUGCCCGGGGCCUGACGCGGGCCGGCGAAUCCCCGGCCUCACAUCAGAGUGAGAGGCGCUGGCAAUGGACUCGGAAGCUCGGCUGCCGCUGUUACUGCUCCCCCCUGGGCUCCGGCGAGAGCCUUUCCCUGUCAAGCAAGAGGGCCAAGAAGGCAGGGCUGCCGGGGCUGCACAAGAAGAGGCAGCAGCCUCCUAUAGCACCACUACAGGCACUGCGAGGACAUAACACCAGAGAGCCGCUCCUCUGCCCUCCGAAACGACAACUUUCCUACCAUCUUGGAGGCAGAGGAAAGGGGGGCCGGGGGGAAAAGUGCACCCGCUCCCGAUAA